rnacentral:rRNA from 1 species
GACGGCGAGGUUUGGCACCUCGAUGUCGGCUCGUCCCAUCCUGGGGCUGAAGGCGGUCCCAAGGGUCCGGCUGUUCGCCGGUUAAAGGGGUACGUGAGUUGGGUUCAGAACGUCGUGAGACAGUUCGGUCUCUAUCCGCCGUGGGCGCAGGAGGCUUGAGGGAACCUCUUCCUAGUACGAGAGGACCGGAAGGGAUAGACCUAUGGUGUGCCAGUUGUUCCGCCAGGAGCAGCGCUGGGUAGCCAUGUCUAGUAUUGAUAAGCGCUGAAGGCAUCUAAGCGCGAAGCUGCCCCCAAGAUGAGGCCUCCCUUCCCUAUUAAGUUAGGGAGUAAGACUGCAGAGAGACUAUCUGCUUGAUAGGCCGGAUGUGUAAGGAUGGCAACAUCUUCAGCAUACCGGUACUAACCGGUCGAGAGGCUUGACCCA